AGGUGUAGAGCAUUUGACUGCAUAAGAGGCUCACCUUACCAGGUUUUAUUUCUUAGAGAAGUUUUAGCUAAGGAGAUAUUUAAGCCAGAAACUAAAAGGCAAGGAAAAAAAGAGACAGAAAGGAGAGAUGCAAAAGCAUUUGGGCUGUGGAAAUGCCUAACUGCUGUGAAUGCUUAGUCAUUCAGUGUGGCCGGAGGUCAAGGUUGAGUGCAAGGCAGAGAGAUUCCAUCUGGGUUCAAUAGAAAUUAAGGAUGCUGAAAAAUGCAAGACAGACCUAGAAAGAGCUGAGGAUAUGGAAAAUAAAUCUGGAUGAGCAAACUGAUGUCAAGGUCAUACAACUACUGAAUGGCGGAAUCCAGAUUUCAUUCCCGGCAAACAGAGUCCAGAGCCCUAAAACUUCAACCAUUAUAUACACUGUGAAGAUAUUUCAUUAAAUACAGAUGGAAUUAAAUCAUCUGACAUUAGAGACAAAGGAAAUUCUGAGAUUAUUGA
ensembl:lncRNA